rnacentral:rRNA from 1 species
GACGAACGCUGGCGGCGUGCUUAACACAUGCAAGUCGAACGGAAAGGCCCUGCUUUUGUGGGGUGCUCGAGUGGCGAACGGGUGAGUAACACGUGAGUAACCUGCCCUUGACUUUGGGAUAACUUCAGGAAACUGGGGCUAAUACCGGAUAGGAGCUCCUGCUGCAUGGUGGGGGUUGGAAAGUUUCGGCGGUUGGGGAUGGACUCGCGGCUUAUCAGCUUGUUGGUGGGGUAGUGGCUUACCAAGGCUUUGACGGGUAGCCGGCCUGAGAGGGUGACCGGCCACAUUGGGACUGAGAUACGGCCCAGACUCCUACGGGAGGCAGCAGUGGGGAAUAUUGCACAAUGGGCGGAAGCCUGAUGCAGCAACGCCGCGUGCGGGAUGACGGCCUUCGGGUUGUAAACCGCUUUCGCCUGUGACGAAGCGUGAGUGACGGUAAUGGGUAAAGAAGCACCGGCUAACUACGUGCCAGCAGCCGCGGUGAUACGUAGGGUGCGAGCGUUGUCCGGAUUUAUUGGGCGUAAAGGGCUCGUAGGUGGUUGAUCGCGUCGGAAGUGUAAUCUUGGGGCUUAACCCUGAGCGUGCUUUCGAUACGGGUUGACUUGAGGAAGGUAGGGGAGAAUGGAAUUCCUGGUGGAGCGGUGGAAUGCGCAGAUAUCAGGAGGAACACCAGUGGCGAAGGCGGUUCUCUGGGCCUUUCCUGACGCUGAGGAGCGAAAGCGUGGGGAGCGAACAGGCUUAGAUACCCUGGUAGUCCACGCUGUAAACGGUGGGUACUAGGUGUGGGGUCCAUUCCACGGGUUCCGUGCCGUAGCUAACGCUUUAAGUACCCCGCCUGGGGAGUACGGCCGCAAGGCUAAAACUCAAAGGAAUUGACGGGGCCCCGCACAAGCGGCGGAGCAUGCGGAUUAAUUCGAUGCAACGCGUAGAACCUUACCUGGGUUUGACAUGGAUCGGGAGUGCUCAGAGAUGGGUGUGCCUCUUUUGGGGUCGGUUCACAGGUGGUGCAUGCCUGUCGUCAGCUCGUGUCGUGAGAUGUUGGGUUAAGUCCCGCAACGAGCGCAACCCUUGUUCACUGUUGCCAGCACGUUAUGGUGGGGACUCAGUGGAGACCGCCGGGGUCAACUCGGAGGAAGGUGGGGAUGACGUCAAGUCAUCAUGCCCCUUAUGUCCAGGGCUUCACGCAUGCUACAAUGGCUGGUACAGAGAGUGGCGAGCCUGUGAGGGUGAGCGAAUCUCGGAAAGCCGGUCUCAGUUCGGAUUGGGGUUUGCAACUCGACCUCAUGAAGUCGGAGUCGCUAGUAAUCGCAGAUCAGCAACGCUGCGGUGAAUACGUUCCCGGGGCU